CGGGCGUCUUAACAUGCAAGUCGAACGAUUAAAGCACCUUCGGGUGUGUAUAAAGUGGCGAACGGCUGAGUAACACGUGGGCAACCUGCCCCUUUCAUUGGGAUAGCCACGGGAAACCGUGGAUAAUACCGAAUACUUCGAGACUUCCGCAUGGAAGACUCGAGAAAGCUCCGGCGGAGAGGGAUGGGCCCGCGGCCUGUUAGCUUGUUGGUGGGGUAACGGCCUACCAAGGCAAUGAUGGGUAGCUGGGUUGAGAGACCGACCAGCCAGAUUGGGACUGAGACACGGCCCAGACUCCUACGGGAGGCAGCAGUGGGGAAUCUUGCACAAUGGGCGAAAGCCUGAUGCAGCGACGCCGCGUGCGGGAUGAAGGCCUUCGGGUUGUAAACCGCUUUCAGCAGGGACGAGGCGAAAGUGACGGUACCUGCAGAAGAAGCCCCGGCUAAUA
rnacentral:rRNA from 2 species